UGGCUCAGUUGGUAGAGCAUGGUGUUUGCAACGCCGGCAUGGUGUGUGCAACGCCAGGGUUGUGGGUUCGAUUCCCAC
rfam:Salmo salar isolate Sally breed double haploid chromosome ssa04, whole genome shotgun sequence.